AGUAUUUGUACUUAAGCACUUUACACCACUGGAAAUGAGACCUUUCCAAUUCAUUUACGACUGAUGAAAUGGACUCUUCUCAACACGAAUACAAACAUACACACUUUUUUGGUAACUAUCACUUUAAUUUAGGAACAAAAUUGGAAUCAACCACACUGAUCGACAUAGCUUAUUAAACUCACAUUUACUGUAGCUAGAUGGUUGCACAAGAACAAACGAAAACGGUAGGGGGCAAGGUCAGACAGCCAGACUGCAUGUAAUGCAUGUUCUUCAAAUUACUUGAUGCACGAGUUCAACAUAUGUGUUGAGCUCCUUGUUCUUCGUUUUAUUGCAAUUUCCAUGCAUACACCACGCGUGUUGUGUACCUACUCUGUAAAUUACAGCUUCUACCCAGUAGGCGGCAGUGUUGUAUAAAUGGCUUUUAUUUGGAAGUUCCGGACUUUUUUCGUUUACCAGAAAUAGUUGGGAGGAACUUCCGUUGUUUCAGUCUCCGCUGAUUGGUUAAAUUUGAAAAAUAUUUAGUCCGCGAGGUAGAGGGAACGUUGGAGCUGGAAGCAAGAAAUCAAACCAUAACAAUUCACCAUGAUACGACCUACGAAGCAUAAAACCCCCCGUAGACCUGCUCCAAAGAAGCCAUCCAGCAACCAGAAAGAUCCAGUUGGUGUUUACUGUCGUGUGAGACCUCUUGGAGUGGAGGAUGAGGAGUGUUGUAUUGAGGUGAUCAGCAACACCACCAUCCAGCUACACGCUCCUGACGGACUCAAAGCCAACAGGAAUGGAGAGUUCAAGGAGACGCAGUACUCCUUCAAGAAGGUGUUCUGCAUUAAGACGUCCCAGAUGGAAUUGUUUCAGGAUGUUGCCAAGCCCCUCGUGGAUGACCUCAUUCACAGUAAAAAUGGUCUGCUGUUUACCUAUGGGGUGACGGGCAGUGGGAAGACCUUCACUAUGACUGGGUCUCCAGGACAGGGGGGGCUCCUGCCCCGCUCCCUAGACAUGAUCUUCAACAGCGUCGGCCCUUACCAGGCCAAACGAUUCGUGUUAAAGACAGAUGAUAAGAAUGGUAUGGAGGUCCAGAAUCAGGUGGAUGCUCUGUUGGAGCGCCAGAAGAGGGAAAACCAGCCAACUGUUGUCCCUAAAACACCCUCCAGGCAGAGGCUGGACCCAGAGUUUGCAGACAUGAUCAACCCAGAGGAGGCCUGCAGGGCGGACGGGGUGGACGAGGACAGUAGCUACAGUGUGUUUGUGUCCUACAUCGAGAUAUACAACAACUACAUCUAUGAUCUGCUGGAAGAAGCCCCCUACGACCCCAUCAAACCCAAGUGGAAUGGAGGAGGUACUCCUCAGAGGCAGCCCAACCAAGAGUUCAUACCGCCCCAGUCUAAGCUCCUAAGAGAGGACCAGAACCACAACAUGUACGUGGCCGGCUGCACCGAGGUAGAAGUUAAGUCUACAGAAGAGGCCUUUGAAGUGUUCUGGAGAGGACAGAAGAAGAGGCGUAUAGCCAACACUCAGCUCAACAGAGAGUCCAGUCGCUCCCACAGUGUCUUCAUCAUCAAACUGGCCCAGGCCCCUCUAGAUGCAGAUGGGGACAACAUCUUACAGGAUAAGAACCAGGUGAGCGUCAGUCAGCUGUGCCUGGUUGACUUGGCGGGGAGUGAGCGCACAAGCAGGACCCGGGCUGAGGGCAACCGCCUCAGAGAAGCAGGUAACAUCAACCAGUCACUCAUGACUUUGAGGACGUGUAUCGAAGUGCUUCGGGAGAAUCAAAUGUGUGGUACAAACAAGAUGGUUCCAUACCGUGACUCCAAGGUGACUCACUUGUUCAAGAACUACUUCGACGGAGAGGGUAAAGUACGGAUGGUUGUAUGUGUCAAUCCUAAAGCCGACGACUACGAAGAAACCAUGCUGGUGAUGCGUUUUGCUGAGAUGACCCAGGAGGUGGAGGUAGCCAGGCCCGUGGACAGGCCCAUCUGUGGCUUAGCUGCUGGGCGCCGGCAGAAAAACCAAGCCUUCAAAGACGAGUUGUCGCGACGCCUGGAGGAACGAGGAGGUCCUGUCAAUACAGAAUCCACCCAGUCAGUGAUGCACCAACUGCUCCAGAACCUUCCCCCUCUGCCUGCCAGCGAGAUCACGGACCCCCAUGAUGACAUCACUCUGCCCCGCCUCAUAGAGGUGCUGGAGAAGAGACACAAGAUCAGGCAGAUGAUGACCCAGGAGUACAACAGGGCUGCCGACAUGUUGAAGUCCAUGCUCCAGGAGCUGGACAGUAGCCUGGUCUCCAAGGAGAACUUGAUCCAGGACCAGAGAGGUCAACUGGGGGAGAAGGACAAGACCCUUCAUAGCCAGAAGACUGAGAUAGACCGUCUGGAGAAGAAGUCCAAGAUGCUGGAGUACAAGAUUGAGAUCCUGCAGAAGACCACCAACAUCUAUGAGGAUGACAAGCGUACGCUGCAGCAGGAGCUGGAGAGCAGAGAGCAGCGUCUGCAGAGAGAGCAGACGGAGAAGAGACGCAUGGAGCAACGCAUGCAGGGCAUGGUCCAGGACACCAAGAACAAGUGGGAGAAGGAGUGUGAGCGUCGUGUGUGCGCCAAGCAGCUGGAGAUGCAGAACAAGCUGUGGGUGAAAGACGAGAAGCUGAAGCAGUUGAAGGCCAUCGUGACGGAGAGCAAGACCCCCUCAGACUUGCGCCCCGCCCCCGACAAGCCCCAGCGCCCCUCCCGGGAGAGGGACCGCGUUCCCGCCAAGAGAUCGGCCUCGCCGUCGCCCGUUCCCGUACGUUACCACGACAUGCGCUUCUAGGGCACUGACUCAUCCAGCUAAUAUACCCUACUGAAGUGUUUUCCUUUCCUAAUCAAACUACUGUUUCCCCCUUUACUGCUAACAGGUUGACCAGCCUCUGUUGACUGGCAGGUCUGUUAAUCAUGAUGUGAAAACACAUCUGACUGACUGACUGACUGGCAGGUCUGUUAAUCAUGAUGUGAAAACACAUCUGACUGACUGACUGGCAGGUCUGUUAAUCAUGAUGUGAAAACACAUCUGACUGACUGGCAGGUCUGGUUAAUCAUGAUGUGAAAACACAUCUGACUGACUGACUGGCAGGUCUGGUUAAUCAUGAUGUGAAAACACAUCUGACUGACUGACUGGCAGGUCUGGUUAAUCAUGAUGUGAAAACACAUCUGACUGACUGACUGGCAGGUCUGGUUAAUCAUGAUGUGAAAACACAUCUGACUGACUGACUGGCAGGUCUGUUAAUCAUGAUGUGAAAACACAUCUGACUGACUGGCAGGUCUGGUUAAUCAUGAUGUGAAAACACAUCUGACUGACUGACUGGCAGGUCUGGUUAAUCAUGAUGUGAAAACACAUCUGACUGACUGACUGACUGGCAGGUCUGUUAAUCAUGAUGUGAAAACACAUCUGACUGACUGGCAGGUCUGUUAAUCAUGAUGUGAAAACACAUCUGACUGACUGACUGGCAGGUCUGGUUAAUCAUGAUGUGAAAACACAUCUGACUGACUGGCAGGUCUGGUUAAUCAUGAUGUGAAAACACAUCUGACUGACUGGCAGGUCUGGUUAAUCAUGAUGUGAAAACACAUCUGACUGACUGGCAGGUCUGGUUAAUCAUGAUGUGAAAACACAUCUGACUGACUGGCAGGUCUGGUUAAUCAUGAUGUGAAAACACAUCUGACUGACUGGCAGGUCUGGUUAAUCAUGAUGUGAAAACACAUCUGACUGACUGGCAGGUCUGGUUAAUCAUGAUGUGAAAACACAUCUGACUGACUGGCAGGUCUGGUUAAUCAUGAUGUGAAAACACAUCUGACUGACUGACUGACUGGCAGGUCUGUUAAUCAUGAUGUGAAAACACAUCUGACUGACUGGCAGGUCUGGUUAAUCAUGAUGUGAAAACACAUCUGACUGACUGGCAGGUCUGGUUAAUCAUGAUGUGAAAACACAUCUGACUGACUGGCAGGUCUGGUUAAUCAUGAUGUGAAAACACAUCUGACUGACUGGCAGGUCUGGUUAAUCAUGAUGUGAAAACACAUCUGACUGACUGGCAGGUCUGGUUAAUCAUGAUGUGAAAACACAUCUGUUUGUUAUUUUGCGUGUUACAAUGUGGACUUAAUGAGUUGAAUUUACUGACCCUGACCUUUUUGUAGAAGGUUUAACUGAAAUCCACCUUUCUAUCCCAUACUUUGUCAGACUUUGAUUGAAUGUAACAUUUAUGUAAUUGUGUGUUGUCUAUCUGGUGUUCAUGCAGCCUGUGUGUGUUUGUUAGUGUGUGCAGCCAGCCAUGUAUGGGAUGAAUGGUAUGUAAUGGAUGGAUGCUAUGUAUCCCAACUAGCUGGUUGACUUGUCUAUCUGCACCACCACCAUACUCUGUACUCUGCCCUGCAGCCCGUCCACUCCAGGUCCAGCCAGGCCCUAGACCCAGUGUACGCCCCUCCCCAUCCCCAGCAGGUCAGACAGUGGCCAGGCUCCCACCCCACCUCCCCUCCUCAGAGCGCUAGCACCGGCACCAGUUCCCUCUCUGUCACCUCCUGCAUCUCAGAGUGGGAGCAGAGAGUCCCUCAGGACAGACAUGCUGACCCGGCCCAGUACGGGACCCCUAAGACUAGAACCCUAGCUCAGACCCAGGGUCUACCCAGCAGCCUUAGCAGGAGGAGAGGCAGGUGUUGGGAGAGGGCCAGAGAAAGAGAGGAAGAGAGAGAGGUUCCUGACCAGACCUGUGAUCUAGACCUAGAGGAACAGGAAGGAGCAUACAGGGUCAGUGAGUCUCAUCAGACUAAGGUGGUAAGGUCAUCUGGUAGGUAGCAGAGCUGCAGGUAAAGUAGAUUCCUCCAACCAGCUCAUCAGCUGACCUUUAGGUUUGUGGGCUAAUGUUUUUAUAAACACUCCCUCUAUAUAACUGGUACUAUGUUCUUGUUUACACUUUAGACUGAAAUAAAAUGAUUUUCUAACUUAA